UCGACAUGCGCACGGAGUGGAAGGCAACCUCGGAUGCCAAGAACGUCUUCGAAGGGCGCGAUCGCAAGACCGGCGAACGCAGGUGGGUUGGGACCCGUGUCGACCUCAUCUUCGGCUCACACUCCCAGCUGCGUGCACUGGCUGAAGUCUAUGCGAGCGCCGACGCGCAGGAAAAAUUCGUUCGUGACUUCGUCGCGGCCUGGAACAAGGUGAUGAGUCUCGAUCGCUUCGACCUCGCGUGAUGCCGAAGGGCGAGCUUUUGCCAUCCCACGCCGGCCUGCUUCGACCUCCCCCGAGGUCAUCCCCGGGCCGGCGCGGUCGGGCCGCGCCAGGGCGGGCACGCCCGAUCCGGAGACGGGUCCAAUGAGCCUCGACCGCCGGCGUGAGCGGCGUGCGGCGCUGGUGGCAACUUUGGCGCUUAUCGCGUGUAGAUCCAUGCGACCACGAAGGCGAAUAGACUGAGCGUGAAGACCAGCAGCACGACCAGCAGUGGAUCGGGGUCGAUACGCUGACGGAGCUCGCGGGCGGCGCGACGCACCGCGGGCUGGGUCGUGCGCUGCAUCAGCAGAGGCGCCUGCUUUCUCACCAGAG
rnacentral:misc_RNA from 1 species